UGAAUACGAGAUGCUACGGCGUCGAAGCAGUGUAUGUCAGACUUCCAAGAAAAGCUCGCAAUGUCAUAAAUAAAGAAUGCCUGUACCAUAACCGACACAGGUGGGUAGGUAGAGUAUACUAAGGGGCGCGAGAUAACUCUCUCUAAGGAACUCGGUAAAAUAACUCCGUAACUUCGGGAGAAGGAGUGCCUUCUUUAAGAAGGUUGCAAUAACAAGAUCCAAGCGACUGUUUAUCAAAAACACAGGUCUCCGCUAAGUCGUAAGACGAUGUAUGGGGGCUGACGCCUGCCCAGUGCCAGAAGGUUAAAGAAGUUGGUUAGCUUUUGCGAAGCUGAUGACUGAAGCCCUGGUGAACGGCGGCCGUAACGAUAACGGUCCUAAGGUAGCGAAAUUCCUUGUCGGGUAAGUUCCGACCCGCACGAAAGGCGUAAUGAUUUGGAUACUGUCUCGGAGAGGGACUCGGUGAAAUAGACUUGUCUGUGAAGAUGCGGACUACCUGCACCAGGACAGAAAGACCCUAUGAAGCUUUACUGUAACUUGAAAUUGAAAUUGGACUUUAUUUGCGCAGUAUAGGUGGAAGGCGUUGAAAGUAAUCUUGCGGGAUUAGUGGAGCCAUCAGUGAGAUACCACUCCUAUAAUGUUAGAUUUCUAACUUUGGAUCAUGAUCUGGUCAAAGAACAGUUUCAGGCGGGCAGUUUGACUGGGGCGGUCGCCUCCCAAAUGGUAACGGAGGCGUACAAAGGUUUCCUCUGAACGGGUAGAAAUCGUAUCUAGAGUGUAAAGGCAUAAGGAAGCUUGACUGUGAGACCUACAAGUCGAGCAGGGACGAAAGUCGGUCUUAGUGAUCUGACGGUGCUGAGUGGAAAGGCCGUCACUCAACGGAUAAAAGUUACUCUAGGAUAACAGGCUGAUCUCCCCCAAGAGUUCACAUCGACGGGGAGGUUUGGCACCUCGAUGUCGGCUCAUCGCAUCCUAGGGCGGUAGUACGUCCCAAGGGUUGGGCUGUUCGCCCAUGAAAGCGGUACGCGAGCUGGGUUCAGAACGUCGUGAGACAGUUCGGUCCAUAUCCGGUGUAGGCGUUAGAAUAUUGAGAGGAGCCUUCUUUAGUACGGGAGGACCGAGAAGGACAUACCUCUGGUGUACCAGUUAUCGUGCCAACGGUAAACGCUGGGUAGCUAUGUAUGGAGAGGAUAACCGCUGAAAGCAUCUAAGUGGGAAGCCCACCUCAAGAUGAGUAUUC
rnacentral:rRNA from 1 species